rfam:Hordeum vulgare subsp. vulgare, WGS project CAJW01000000 data, contig: morex_contig_43714
UAAAUACUCCCUCCGUCUCAAAAUAAGUGACUCAAAAAUGACUCACUUUUGUACUGAAUUUAGUACAAAACUGAGUCAAUUUUGAGUCACUUAUUCUGAGACAGAGGGAGUAUAAU